CAAUAGCGUAUAUUAAAGUUGUUGCGGUAAAAAAGCUCGUAGUUGGAUUUCUGUUGAGAGCGACCGGUCCAUACCAUGUAUGCGUAUCUGGCUUGCUCUCGGCAUCCUCUCGAUAGACGUUACUGCGCUUGAUUGCGUGGUGCGGAUCUCGGGACUUUUACUUUGAGGAAAUUAGAGUGUUCACGGCAGGCUUUCGCCAGAAUACAUUAGCAUGGAAUAAUACUAUAGGAUCUUGGUUCUAUUUUGUUGGUUUCUAGAAUUGAGAUAAUGAUUAAUAGGGACAAUUGGGGGCAUUCGUAUCAACACGUCAGAGGUGGAAUUCUUGGAUUGUGUGGCGACGAACUACUGCGAAAGCAUUUGCCAAGGAUGUUUUCAUUGA
rnacentral:rRNA from 1 species